rnacentral:rRNA from 1 species
UACGUAGGGUGCGAGCGUUGUCCGGAAUUAUUGGGCGUAAAGAGCUCGUAGGCGGUGUGUCACGUCGUUCGUGAAAACCUGCAGCUUAACUGUGGGCGUGCGGUCGAUACGGGCAUCACUGGAGUUCGGCAGGGGAGACUGGAAUUCCUGGUGUAGCGGUGAAAUGCGUAGAUAUCUGGAGGAACACCGGUGGCGAAGGCGGCAUCCUGGACCGACACUGACGCUGAGGCGCGAAAGCUAGGGGAGCAAACGGG